CUCUUCCAAUAAAAUUUAACUUUCUAUCUUGACUUGGAGAAAUUUGGCUUUUUAACUUCAUCUAAAUUGUCUAUAUUGGGGCAGUGGGUUUAUAUUUCACAACACUAUCAAAUUGGAGAGUAUGACAAAAAAAGGAAAUUGCCAGAUACAAUAGGAGAUGUGGGUAAUUGAAUCAUUAAAACAUUGUUUAUGGAUUUGUGUCCAAAUCUAAUCUCUCUCUUUUAUUUCUCUUAUCUAUCUCUCUUUCCAUCUCUUCUCCAAAUACAUGCUGACAUUAUAUCUCAAAGAGAGUGGAGAAGAAAAAGAAAAUCCAUUGAGGAGGAGGAGAAAGAGGAAGAAGAAGAAAAAGAAACAAAAGAAGUAUAUAAGAGGAAAAAGGAGAGUAGGAAGAAAGAGAAGAAACACUUCAUCUUGCAAUCUGAGUCUAUCAUAUCUCUAUAUGGAGUUAGUCCUUUGGAAUUGUGGUGGUACAAUAAUAGUCUAUCAACUUCUGGUCAAGAUGGCGGCUUAGAAGCAGCUUAAGUUCAGACCUUGGAAACCCUUCCUUACCGAUUGCAAACUGAGUGCUUCUAGGACACCGAAAUUCAAGCUGAACAACAGGACAGACCCGGGGAAUCCUCCUCCCAGACCUGGAUCAAAAGGUAUGGCCCCCCAAAAGCCAGAACCCUAGAUCACUCAAAUGUAAGGGGCAGGCAGAAGGAAGGUCCCAGGACCCAUCCCCCCCAACCCAGAGUGCUGAGCCCACAGCAGCAGCAGGAACCUCAGAGCCAGCAAAAGGGCCUCAGGGCUGGCUAUUCUGAAGGACUCACCUUAAAAGCAACCUGAGCCAGAUUCCGGGGCCCCCAACACAGAAGGCAGGGAAACAUAGAGAGAAGGGGGAAGCCUGUAGUCCCCUUGCUGGGUCCUUCCAUCUGAGUCUCAAGGAAGGUUCCAGCUUUAGGGCACCAGCUGAACCCAAUCCCAUCAGGAGCCCUCAGAGCUACUGAAAGGACAGAAAUCUCAGGGCCGGCAAAGGGGUUGCUCUGAAGAGCUUACCUUAAAAGUAACCUAGGCCAGUCUCUGGGCAUUCAACACAGAAGGUAGAGGAGGAAGGUUUUUUUUUGUUUUUUUUUUUUGUUAUUCAGGAAGACUAUCCCAAAAUCCUAGAACAAGAGGGGAAAGUGGAGAUUGAAAGAAACCACAGAUCACCCCCUGUAUUUAAUCCCCAACUGACAACACCAAGAAAUGUUAUAGCCAAAUUCAAAAACAAUCAGAUGAAAGAAAAGAUAUUACAAGCUGCCAAGAAGAAGCCAUUCAGAUACCAUGGAAACAUGGUGAGGUUAACACAGGAUCUGGCUGCAUCCACACUGAAGGACCAAAAGGCAUUGAAUACGAUAUUUCUGAAAGCAAGGGAACUAGGUCUACAACCAAGAAUAAAAUACCCAUCAAAACUGACUAUAUUCUUACA
rnacentral:lncRNA from 1 species